GCGCAUUCAGCCGACGGGGAGUUUAACCCCUUUUCCCCUUUCCAGAGCCCGGCGGGAGGGGGACCCUGAGGGUGGGGGCACCCUCAGGGCACUAUAGUGCCAGGAAAACAAGUAUGUUUUCCUGGCACUAUAGUGGUCCUUUAACUUAAAGUAUUUCUUGGUUAAAUAAAUAGCAUAAACUGGAAAGUCCACGAACAAGACCAUAUAGUGCGGGAUCAGGACCAGCAAAACAAAUUAAAGUCUUAUUAGAUAAUUCGGGCAGGACCAGCAGAAACAAAAGUAUACAGUAUAUGGCUAGGUUAACCAAGGCAGGUUCAAGCACACACAAUUCUGUGCUCUAGUUACACAGAAUUAACAUUAACCAGCCCAGAACCAAAUUUCAGGAGUGAAGUGGAUAAGUAAUGAUUACAGUUUUUGGCACCAGUGGAUAUUGAAUGACAUCAAAGACAGCUUAUACAAAGAUAGAAACAUGUAACCUCACCCCACCCUUCCCCAUUUUUGUUGAGAUUACCUGCUUUUAUCUUUGUAUUUGAUAAUACUUGCACAUUACCUCUAUGAAUUCAGUGACUUGUUACUCCACUUUCCAAUCAUGUCCAUCUUGAAAAUGUUCUAUUAAAUGGAUACUAUAAGUGCCAGGAAUACAAAGCAGUAUUCCUGACACUAUAGCUCCGUCUGCCCCCUCCCUUCCUCCCUCGCGCCCCCAUGACAUCAAUAAAGGGUUAAAAACCCUUUAUUUACUUUCCUUACCCUAGCGCCAAUAUACCUUGGCGCUGGGUCGCGGCUCUGCCUCCUCCGACGCCCCGCAAAUAAUCAAUGUUUUCCUAUGGGAAAAAAAACUGACGCUGGAUGUCCUCAUGCAGAGCGUGUGGACGUACAGCGUCAGUUACCGGACCAAAGGGAGACAGCCACUUGAGGCAGACAGUGCUGCAAUGUAAACAUUUCAGUUUCCCUGGAACAGCAGUGUUUAACAUUGCAGCAUUAAGUGUAAUAGGGACACUGCACCCAGACCACUUCAAUUAGCUGAAGUGGUCUGGGUGCCUAUGGUGUCCAUCUAACAGCCACUCUCUGUACUCGGUCUUAAUGCCAAUAUUCAAUCCAACAAAAACAUUUAUAACCUUGAAUGUACAUAAUUUUAUUUUCAGGCCUCCCUGAAUAUCUGUUGCUAAUUUAUUUUAUUUUUUAUUUUAUACAUAAAUGUGAUAUUUUAUUUUUGUUACGAAAAACCAACAACGCGUAGUGAAUGGUUUAAGUCUUGUAAGUAUAGAUAGCGACCUUUGCUGUCAGUUUUAUUAUUGAAUUAAAUUUAGUUGUAUGUAUGCUAAUAUUGCUGUGACUAGGCUACAACGAACAUAUUUUAAAAUCAUGUUUGUUUGACUAUUAGAAACUGUAUGGUUUUGCCUGUUAUUUAAAGGGACACUGUAACUUCCUGAGAUUAUUAAUAUAUUUACUUGUCAUCUAUAUUAAACAAAUUUGUAUUUUUGAAGUUUUCAAAAAUAAAAAUAAGUCUUGAAAUCAGCAUCUCUUUAUCCUUUAGUGAGAGCCUCCAUCUUAGUUCACUAUCAGUCAUUGUUAUAACCUCUGUCCUUUUAACCUGGCAGGCAGAAUAGAGAAAAAAUACAGAGAAGAAGAGACAUUAGACUCUGUUCUAUUUCACCCCGUAGCUAUGUUUUUACCCUAGCUUUUCUUUUUCUGGACUGAAUUGAGAUGUAAUUUGCUAAAUAUUUAACAUCAGUUUAAAAGAAAAUGGCGCAGGUCAUGAAAUAGGGCAACACAAAUUAAAGGUGGUUUUCAAUAUUUUAAUGCUGCUCCAACCUAUCUAUCCUCCCUAAUACACAAGUAUGUC